rnacentral:rRNA from 1 species
GACGAACGCUGGCGGCGUGCCUAAUACAUGCAAGUUGAGCGAUGAAGAUUGGUGCUUGCACCAAUUUGAAGAGCAGCGAACGGGUGAGUAACGCGUGGGGAAUCUGCCUUUGAGCGGGGGACAACAUUUGGAAACGAAUGCUAAUACCGCAUAACAACUUUAAACAUAAGUUUUAAGUUUGAAAGAUGCAAUUGCAUCACUCAAAGAUGAUCCCGCGUUGUAUUAGCUAGUUGGUGAGGUAAAGGCUCACCAAGGCGAUGAUACAUAGCCGACCUGAGAGGGUGAUCGGCCACAUUGGGACUGAGACACGGCCCAAACUCCUACGGGAGGCGGCAGUAGGGAAUCUUCGGCAAUGGACGAAAGUCUGACCGAGCAACGCCGCGUGAGUGAAGAAGGUUUUCGGAUCGUAAAACUCUGUUGGUAGAGAAGAACGUUGGUGAGAGUGGAAAGCUCAUCAAGUGACGGUAACUACCCAGAAAGGGACGGCUAACUACGUG